CGGGGCGUAGCGCAAUAGGUAGCGCACGUGCUUUGGGAGCACGAGGUUGUGGGUUCGAGUCCCGCCGCCCCGACCA
rnacentral:tRNA from 1 species